UACGAAGGGGGGCUAGCGUUGUUCGGAAUUACUGGGCGUAAAGCGCACGUAGGCGGAUCGAUCAGUCAGGGGUGAAAUCCCAGGGCUCAACCCUGGAACUGCCUUUGAUACUGUCGAUCUGGAGUAUGGAAGAGGUGAGUGGAAUUCCGAGUGUAGAGGUGAAAUUCGUAGAUAUUCGGAGGAACACCAGUGGCGAAGGCGGCUCACUGGUCCAUUACUGACGCUGAGGUGCGAAAGCGUGGGGAGCAAACAGG
rnacentral:rRNA from 1 species